rnacentral:rRNA from 1 species
CCUACGUGUGGCAGCAGUGAGGAAUAUUGGUCAAUGGGCGCGAGCCUGAACCAGCCAAGUAGCGUGAAGGAUGACUGCCCUACGGAUUGUAAACUUCUUUUAUAAAGGAAUAAAGUGAGGCACGUGUGCCUUUUUGUAUGUACUUUAUGAAUAAGGAUCGGCUAACUCCGUGCCAGCAGCCGCGGUAAUACGGAGGAUCCGAGCGUUGUCCGGAUUUAUUGGGUUUAAAGGGAGCGUAGAUGGGUUGUUAAGUCAGGUGUGAAAGUUUGCGGCUCAACCGUAAAAUUGCAAUUGAUACUGGCAGUCUUGAGUACAGUUGAGGUAGGCGGAAUUCGUGGUGUAGCGGUGAAAUGCUUAGAUAUCACGAAGAACCCCGAUUGCGAAGGCAGCUUACUAAACUGCCACUGACAUUGAUGCUCGAAAGUGUGGGUAUCAAACAGGAUUAGAUACCCGUGUAGUC